CGCAGCCAUUCGUCCCCAGACGCGAAAGUUCUACCUACAUUUUUUCAACCAGGGUGCCGCCUCUGUUCGUGGGAGUGCAGGCUCGUUCGGCGAGAAGCCCGAAGCGAUUAUCGUGCCACCCACCUACUUCAUGUAGGGGUUGAACUCAACCGGAGGGGACGGUGGCUGUUU
rnacentral:other from 1 species